GAGAUUUGGCAAAUGAAUUGCAUGCAUUUUUGCAUGUAAUUAGGUUAUAAAUAGAGGUGUUUUCAAAUGUAGAAGGACUUUUGCCUCUUUUAUCAUUUUCAUCAUCUCAGUCAAAGGAAUAAAAGAUACCUUCUAACCCCCUUUUAUCUCCAUUACUUUCUACACCAAAAUUGAGUCUCACAACCCAAGUUCUUUAUUUAGAGGAUAGCGGUUGAGUACUAGUGGUGGUCUCGGUUUGAAUUGGUAAAAAGAUAUCAAACUUUUUGAAAGCUUCAAAGGUAAUAUUUCCUAAACCCUAAUUUGAUUAGUUUAUGGUUACAUGUUAAUUGUGGCAAUUAUGGUAGAAAUUCGAUUCUUUUUCCGCUGUGCAUGACUUAGUUCUAUCAGUCUGGGGCAUCACCGUUCGACUUUUGUGGGCAAGAAACAUCGAGACCACUCAGAAUCGGACCACCCAGUAGCUAGACGUGAACUUUUGAGGCCUCCGACCCUGUUCUAAGUCCGGCCAUUCCUUUCUAGGCCACUAUGUCUUUCUUUCGGCGUUUUGCGACGGAACCAAGAAACCAAGUCUAGGGCAUCACCGUUCGGCUUUUGUGGGCAAGAAACUUCGAGACCGCUCAGAAUCGGACCACCCAGUAGCUAGACGUCAACUUUUGAGGCCUCCGACCUCGUUCUCAGUACGGCCGUUCCUUUCUAGGCCACUGUGCCGUUCUUUCGGCGUUUUGGGACGGAACCAAGAAACCGAGUCUAGGGCAUCACCGUUCGGGUUUUGUCGGCAAGAAACUUCGAGACCGCUCAGAAUCGGACCACCCAGUAGCUAGACGUGAACUUUCGAGACCUCCGACCGCGUUCUAAGUCCGGCCGUUCCUUUCUAAGCCACUACGCCUUUCUUUCGGAGUUUUGGGACGGAACCAAGAAACCGAGUCUUGGGCAUCACCGUUCGGCUUUUUUUGGCAAGAAACUUGGAGACCGCUCAGAAUCGGACCACCUAGUAGCUAGACGUUAACUUUUGAGGCCUCCGACCCCGUUCUAAGUCUGACCGUUCCGUUCUAGGCCACUCUGGCUUUCUUUCGACGUUUUGGGACGAACCAAGAAACUGAGUCUGGGCAUCACCGUUCGGCUUUUUUGGGCAAGAAACUUAGAGACCGCUCAGAAUCGGACCACCCAGUAGCUAGACGUUAACUUUUGAGGCCUCCGACCCCGUUCUAAGUCCGACCGUUCCGUUCUAGGCCACUGUGCCUUUCUUUCGGCGUUUUGGGACGAAACCAAGAAUUCGAGUCUGGGCAUCACCGUUCGGCUUCUGUGGGCAAGAAACUUCGAGACCGCUCAGAAUCGGACCACCCAGUAGCUAGACGUUAACUUUUGAGGCCUCCGACCCCGUUCUAAGUCUGACCGUUCCGUUUUAAGCCACUGUGCCUUUCUUUCGGCGUUUUGGGACGAAACCAAGAAUUCGAGUCUGGGGCAUCACCGUUCGGCUUCUGCAGGCAAGAAACUUCGAGAUCGCUCAGAAUCGGACCACUCAGUAGCUAGACGUGAACUUUCGAGGCCUCCGACCCCGUUCUAAGUCUGGCCGUUCCUUUCUAAGCCACUGUGCCUUUCUUUCGGCAUUUUGGGAUGAAACCAAGAAGUCGAGUCUAGGCAUCACCGUUCGGCUUUUUUGGUCAAGAAAUUUGGAGAUCGCUCAGAAUCGGACAACCCAGUAGCUAGACGUUAACUUUUGAGGCCUCCGACCCCGUUCUAAGUCCGACCGUUCCAUUCUAGGCCACUGUGCCUUUCUUUUGGCGUUUUAGGACGAAACCAAGAAUUCGAGUCUAGGGCAUCACCGUUCGGCUUUUGUGGGCAAGAAACUUUGAGACCACGCAGAAUCGGACCACCCAGUAGCUAGACGUGAACUUUCGAGGCCUCCGACGCCGUUCUAAGUCCGGUCGUUCCUUCCUAGGCCAUUGUGCCUUUCUUUCGGCCUUUUGGGACGAAACCAAGAAACCGAGUCUGGGCAUCCCCGUUCGGCUUUUUUGGGCAAGAAACUCUUAGACGACUCAGAAUCGGACCACCCAGUAGCUAGACGUGAACUUUCGAGGCCGACCGCGCGUUCUAAGUUAGUCCAGUCGUUCCUUUCUAGGCCAUUGUGCCUUUGUUUCGGUUUUGGGACGAAGAAGAAACCGAGUAUGGGGCAUCACCGUAAGGCUUUUGUGGCAAGAAACUCUGAGACGACUCAGAAUCGGAACACCCAGUAGCUAGACGUGAACUUCGAGGCCUCCCGACGCCGUUCUAAGUCUGGGUCGUUCCUUUCUAGGCCAUUGUACCUUUCUUUGGCGUUUUGGAAGGAACCAAGAACCGAGUCUGGGCAUCACCGAGUUCGGCUUUUUGUGGCAAGAAACUUCGAGACCGCUCAGAAUCGGACCACCUAGUAGCUAGACGUGAACUUUCGAGGCCUCCGACCCCGUCUUAUGUUCGGUCGUUCCUUUCUAGGCCAUUGUAUCUUUCUUUCGGCUUUUGGGACGGAACCAAGAAACCGAGUCUGGGGCAUCACCGUUCGGCUUUUCUGGGCAAGAAACUUCGAGACCACUCAGAAUCGGACCACCCAGUAGGUAGACGUAAACUUUCGAAGCCUCCGACCCCGUUCUAAGUCUGGUCGUUCCUUUCUAGGCCAUUGUGCUUUCUUUCGGGGUUUUGGGACGGAACCAAGAAACCGAGUCUGGGCAUCACCGUUCGGCUUUUGUGGGCAAGAAACUUCGAGACGCUCAGAAUCGGACCACCUAGUAGCUAGACGUGAACUUUCGAGGCUCGACCCCGUUCUAAGUUCGGUCGUUCCUUUCUAGGCCAUUGUAUCUUUCUUUCGGCUUUGGGACGGAACCAAGAAACCGAGUCUGGGGCAUCACGUUCGGCUUUUCUGGGCAAGAAACUUCGAGACCACUCAGAAUCGGAACCCAGUAGCUAGACGUAAACUUUCGAAGCCUCCGACCCCGUUCUAAGUCCGGUCGUUCCUUUCUAGGCCAUUGUGCCUUUCUUUCGGGGUUUUGGGACGGAACCAAGAAACCGAGUCUGGGGCAUCACCGUAAGGCUUUUGUGAGCAAGAAACUUCGAGACCACUCAAAAUCAGACCACCCAGUAGCUAGACGUGAACUUUCGAGGCCUCCGACUUCGUUCUAAGUCCGGUCGUUCCUUUCUAGGCCAUUGUGCCUUUCCUUCGGCGUUUUGGACGGAACAAGAAACUGUCUGAGGCAUCACGUUCGGCUUUUGUGGGCAAGAGACUUCGAGACCACUCAGAAUCGGACCACGUAGCUAGACGUGAACUUUCGAGGCCUCCGACCCGUUCUAAGUCCUGUCUUUCCUUUCUAGGCAUUGUGCUUUCUUUCGACGUUUUGGGACGGAACCAAGAGACCGAUUCUGGGCAUCACCGUUCGGCUUUUGUGGGCAAGAAACUUCGAGACCACUCAGAAUCGGACACUAGUAGCUAGACAUGAACUUUCGAGGCUCGACCGUUCUAAGUUCGGUCGUUCCUUUCUAGGCCAUUGUAUCUUUCUUUCGGCUUUUGGGACGGAACCAAGAAACCGAGUAUGGGGCAUCACCGUUCGGCUUUUCUGGGCAAGAAACUUCGAGACCACUCAAAAUCGGACCACCCAGUAGCUAGACGUAAACUUUCAAAGCCUCUGACCCCGUUCUAAGUCCGGUCGUUCCUUUCUAGGCCAUUGUGCCUUUCUUUCGGGGUUUUGGGACGGAACCAAGAAACCGAGUCUAGGGCAUCACCGUAAGGCUUUUGUGGGCAAGAAACUUCGAGACCACUCAAAAUCGGACCACCCAGUAGCUAGACGUGAACUUUCGAGGCCUCCGACUCGUUCUAAGUCCGAUCGUUCCUUUCUAGGCCAUUGUGCCUUUCUUUCGGCGUUUUGGGACGGAACAUGAAAGAGUCUGGGGAUCACCGUUCGGCUUUUGUGGCCAGAAACUUCGAGACCACUCAGAAUCGGACAACCUAGUAGCUAGACGUGAACUUUCGAGGCCUCCGACUUCGUUCUAAGUCCGCUCGUUCCUUUCUAGGCCAUUGUGCCUUUCCUUCGGCGUUUUGGAACGGAACCAAGAAACAGAUUCUGAGGCAUCACCGUUCGGCUUUUGUGGUCAAGAAUCUUCGAGACCACUCAGAAUCGGACCACUCAGUAGCUAGACGUGAACUUUCAAGGCCUUCGACCGAGUUCUAAGUCCGGUCGUUCCAGACCAUUGUGCCUUUCUUUUGGCAUUUUGGGACGAAACCAAGAAACCGAGUCUGGAGCAUCACCGUUCGGCUUUUGUGGGCAAGAAACUUCGAGACCACUCAGAAUCGGACCACCCAGUAGCUAGACGUGAACUUUCAAGGCCUUCGACCCCGUUCUAAGUCCGGUCUUUCCUUUCUCGGCCAUUGUGCCUUUCUUUCGGCGUUUUGGGACGAAACCAAGAAACCGAGUCUGGGGCAUCACCGUUCGGCUUUUGUUGGCAAGGAACUUUGAGACAACUCAGAAUCAGACCACCCAGUAGCCAGACGUGAACUUUCGAGGCCUCCGACCCCGUUCUAUGUCCGGUCGUUCCUUUCUAGGCCAUUGUGCCUUUCUUUCGGCGUUUUGGGACGAAACCAAGAAACCGAGUCUGGGGCAUCACCGUUCGGCUUUUGUUGGCAAGAAACUUCGAGAUCACCCAGUACCUAGACGUAAACUUUCGAGGCCUCCGACCCAAUUCUAAGUCCGGUCCUUCCUUUCUACGCCAUUGUGCUUUUCUUUCGGCGUUUUGGGACGGAACCAAGAAACCGAGUCUGGGGCAUCACCGUUCAGCUUUUGUGGGCAAGAAAAUUCGAGAUCACCCAGUACCUAGACGUGAACUUUCGAGGCCUCCGACCCCAUUCUAAGUCCGGUCGUUCCUUUCUAGGCCAUUGUGCCUUUCUUUCGACGUUUUGGGACGGAACCAAGAAACCGAGUCUGGGUCAUCACCGUUUGGCUUUUGUGGGCAAGAAACUUCGAGAUCACCCAGUACCUAAACGUGAACUUUUGAGGUCUCCGACCCCGUUCUAAGUCCGGUCGUUCCUUUCUAGGCCAUGGUGCCUUUCUUUCGGCGUUUUGGGACGGAACCAAGAAACUGAGUCUGUCGCAUCACCGUUCGGCUUUUGUGGGCAAGAAACUUCUGUUGGAAUUUUUUGUCCUAAAACUCGUAGUUUGUAAAUCAUAUUCUGUUCAAUAAAGUUGUUAUUGAGAAAUUAAAUAUUAUAAUCUUAAAUCCAAUAAAUCAAGUUCCAAGGCUAUUUUUUGAAUAAACUUGAACUUUAUGUGUAAACAUAAACGUGGAUCAAGUUCGAGUAUAUAGCCUAAAUAGUCUAUAGUAUAUGAAAUAAAGGUUGGGCGCCUUAUUUAGAGAAACUAUGAUGCGGCCACUUUGUAGUACAAACGAGGUGAUCCUAAUCGUUCAUGUAGAGACAUGAAAGUGGGGGCAUCCUAUGUAAAAUGUUUACAUAAGUCUGA
rnacentral:lncRNA from 1 species